AUCACAUGACCGACUUUAGUUACUUAAUCACCAGCUGCUCCAGAGGUCAAAAUGAUACAGCAUGGCCCAAGGUCCCCACCAUAAAUCACAUUAUUAGCACAAACUAUCUGGCCUGGUAUGGCCCAAGGCCUGAGGUAUACAAAGACACCCCUACUUGGGAGGAUAUUCCAAGGACUUAGAGGUUAUCUCCCAGGAGCCCAUUAAGGCCAGUUUUUUCUUUGAGAUGUGCUGGGUUUGGACACUUCAAGCCUGCUGAGUUAACCCUUAUAGCACAGUCCCCAAAUGCUGAGGGACCAACUGGGCCUACAAUAAGUUUGUAUCUUUAAGGGUUAAGGUGUUUUACCCAUACCUCCUUGCCUUAUAUCUCAUGAUAAUAUGAGGCUUUUGGAAGGCAGUGACUUAUUGUGGCUUGGGGCAUGGGUUUUUGGAGUCAGGCUGACCUACUGGCUGUAUGGCUUGAGACUUUGUCUCUUCAUCUGUAAAAUGGGGAAGUUAAAACUUCAUGGUGUGUAUGUGUGUAUGUGUGUGUUUAGACAGAAUCUCGCUCUGUCACUCAGGCUAGAGUACAGUGGCGUGAUCAUAGCUCACUGCAGCCUCGGUCUCCUAGGGUCAGGUGAUCCUCCCAUCUUAGCCUCCUGAGUAGCUGGGCAUGUGCCACCACACCUGGCUACUUUUUAAAUUUUUUUUUUUCUGUAGAGACGAGGUCUUUCUAUGCUGUUCAGGCUGAACUUCAUGGGUUUAUUGGGGAUGGCUAAUGGAUGACAUUGGCGGUGGUCCUUGAUACCAGAUAAGCCCUCAGUGUGAAGCAGCUCUUAUUUUUCCUUGUCUUGAGAUUGCUCUGGAAUGGAAAUUAGGCUUUUUUGAAGGUGUGACCCUUUUUGUUCAUUUCUUCAGCAGUUACUUUUUAUUUUUUAAAUGUUUGACACACAGUCUCUGAUAAAUGAUCAUUCACCAAUCACCGAUUACUCUCCUUGCUCUGUUAAGUGUGACACUGUCCCUUUGAGAAUCUGGCGACAGCUAUGUAUCCCAUCACCACACACCCCAAAAAAAAAAUUUAUGUCUGGUUCCAGGAGUUACCUUUUAUGAGAAGUCCAUCUGUGAAGACCCUGGAUGUUCAGAGAACUUCCUGGGAAAACACUGAAAGAAAAUAAAGAGGCCGGGCCCGGUGGCUCAUGCUUGUAAUCCCAGCACUUUGGGAGGCUGAGGUGGGCAGAUAAGCUGAGGUCAGGAGUUCCAGACCAGCCUGGCCAACGUGGCGAAACCCCAUCUACUAAAAAUACAAAAAUUAGCUGGGCGUCGUGGCGCAUGCCUGUAGUUGCAGCUACUUGGGAGGCUGAGGCAGGAGAAUUGCUUGAACCCAGGAGGCAGAGGUUGCAGUGAACCAAGAUCAUGCUAGUACACUCCAGCCUGGGCAACAGAGUGAGACUCCAUCUCAAAAAUAAAAUAAAUAAAACAAAAUAAAAUAAAUACAAUUUCUGUUUCUAGCCCCUAAGUGGUAGCACUGGGUCUUGUUCCCUGAAAAAAACUAGGCUCAGAAUCCACUCUCAUUUCAUCUCCCCUGAUUUGAUCUGAAAAGAUUUUGUUUAGAGUACUACAUGAAUAUAUUAUAAAACAUGGGACAAUCAGAAUUGAUAGUAAGAAGGCAAGUGGCUCUAUUUGUACUUCCUCUCAAUAGCUCCUAAAGGUAAUGCUACCAUUUUCUGUUUGUACAUAGUCUUCCAGACUUUAAAUUUUUGAACAUAUAAAUAUUAUCAUCUUAAAGACGUAUGGAAAAAACCAUUUUGAAUAGGUUAUUCCAAAAUGUAAUUUAACAGAUUGCUCUGGAGGAUUGUUUGUUUGUUUGUUUUGGAGACAGAGUCCCGCUUGGUUGCUCAGGCUGCAGUGCAGUGGCACAAACACAGCUCACUGCAACCUCUAACUCCUGCAAACACAGCUCACUGCAACCUCUAACUCCUGCAAACACAGCUCACUGCAACCUCUAACUCCUGCAAACACAGCUCACUGCAACCUCUAACUCCUGCAAACACAGCUCACUGCAACCUCUAACUCCUGGGCUCAAGCAGUCCUUUCACCUCAGCCUCCUGAGUAGCUGGACCAUGACACCUACCUAACUUUUUAUUUUUUGUAAAGAGGGGAAUCACUAUGUUGCCCAGGCUGGUCUCAAACUCCUGGGCUCAAGCAAUCCUUCCUCAGCCUCUCAAAGAGUUGGGUUUACAGGCGUGAGCCACCGCACCUGGCUCCUGGAGCAUUUCUGAUGUGAACAUGUGCUGAUCUAACACCACUCCUUUUACCAGCUGCCUGUUCUAGAGCAAACCAUCUUUUUUGAGCAUUCCACUUUGGCUAGGCCCUUAGGCUGUUAGCAGUUUUCAUCGCUACUGGCAAAGCUGCAGUGGACGUUCUCCUGCACAUAUAACCUCUUGAUGCCACUGUAUGAGUGAGUCUCUGCAAAAUGAGAAGUAGAAUUGCUGGGGUGAAAGGCAUACAUACUAACUUUUUUGAUUAAUUCCACCCAUGUACCCUGAUUUGGGCAGAAUUUUAAUCUCACUGUGAAAUCAGAGCUUUGUUCUAGAGCCUUUCUUGGGGGUUCCAUGGAUCAGUGGGUCAGCCGUCACUUGUGCCCUGGCCCAUCCUCUGUCCAGCUUGGGCAGCAUGCAUCAUUCAUUCUGAUUCCUUAAUUUGCCAUAUGUGAAAACAUGGUAAUCUAUACAUUACUUGGGUGCUAUUAUUAUAUAUAACUAGCUUUGGAGUCAGAAUUAGCGUCUCAUCCUGGCUCUACCACUUUCCAACUGUGCGACUGUGGCCAAGUGACUCCCCUUCUCUGAGCCUCAGUUUUCCUCUUCUGUAAAAUGGGGGUAAAGGGAUAAGAACUAUAGGGGGAUCUCAGGGGAUGGUUAAGAGAAAUCCAUGAGAUAAGCAAACACAUUAUCUAGUUUAGUAAAGCUAAGCAAUGAAGACUUAACAGCCCCAUGGUGAAGGCUUAAUACAUGGUAGCUAUAAUGAUUACUAUUAAUAUUGUGAAAUAAAAGGUUGUGAUGAACCAACCAUAUCUUCUCA
rnacentral:lncRNA from 1 species